UUGGAAAGAGUCCACUUGACUAGCAGUCCAAAAAAGUAUUGAUAGGAUCCAACUGUAUUCCACGUCAGAAUUCGGUGUACGGAAUCAAAUCCACCUCUAUAACUACCUAAGAAUCACUCCUCUUCUUCAAACCCCCUUGCAAUUCUUCAGAAGGUUAUAUGGAUUACGGACAUCUUGUGACAAAGGAAGGUGCGAGGGAAUCACUCAUCGCCAUUUCUUACGACGUUGUUGAAGAGAUUCGUGCUUUUUUACCGGAGACUGAGAAUGCGAAUGGUGUAACAAACGAUGCGAUUACGAAUACUAGAAACAAGACGCUUGAGGAAUUAAGAUCAGAACUGAUUUCACUGGCUUCUUUUGACCCAUCAACGGACUGUAAGAAGGUUUAGAGGUUAUGGUAGAUUUGAACAUCUUUGGCAUUAUUGUUAAUUGAUUUUACCCUUUUGAUCUACUAUUAUUGUGAUGGUAUUAUUUCAAUUUAAUGUUUCAUUAAAUAUGAAAUUAUUUACUUGCUUUAUAUGUUUUCA